AUUGAACGCUGGCGGCAGGCCUAACACAUGCAAGUCGAGCGAGCGGCGGACGGGUGAGGAAUGUAUGGGGAUAGCCCGAUAGAGGGGGAUAAAUACUGUAAACGGUGGCUAAUACCGCAUACUGUCGGAUAACCCAUAUGGGAUUUGCUAGUAGGUAAGGUAAUGGCUUUCCUAGGCGACGAUCCCUAGAUGGUCUGAGAGGAUGAUCGGCCACACUGGGACUGAGACACGGCCCAUACUCCUACGGAGGCAGCAGUGGGGAAUAUUGCGCAAUGGGGGAGAGCCUGAUGCAGCCAUGCCGCGUGUAUGAAGAAGGCCCUAGGGUUGGAAAGUACUUUCAGUCGGGAGGCGUUACCGAAAGAAGAAGCACUGGCUAACUCCGUGCCAGCAGCCGCGGUAAUUC
rnacentral:rRNA from 1 species